CUCUGUAAACAGGGACCCAGGAUUUCAGCCCCAUCUUUGGUUUCUCAGGAGAAAAUAGAGGGGUUUCUUCCCAGUGCCCUCGUGUUGACCUUGCCUGGGGGGAGAGGGGCAGCAGAGCUAAGGAUGACCUCACCCCAUUCCUGCAGGAUUUCCUGAGACAUGGAAGGGCUCAUUCUUCCGCUGUCCUUCCGUGAUCAGCCUCCAUGAGCCUCAGAGCAGAUUAUGGUGACAUCUGAUAUUGUCCCUUUAGGACUUGAGCGUGAGGUCAAGCAAACCCACAAAGCAAUCAUUAUGCUUUCCGCCCGUUCCAGAGAGCUUCUGCGUCAGCUGGAGGCACGGGAGGAGUCCCAGACGUGCAGUGGAGCCUUGCCGGGGGAAAUGUCAGCUUGGACCAUGGGUGCCCGCGGUCUGGACAAGCGAGGAAGUUUCUUUAAGCGGCUGCGUGCAGACACUGCGGAGGUCCUCAGAGCCAGGAACGACUCACGUGCCCAGAAGCCACACUGCCCACCAAACUGCCGACACCUGCCCACAGGUGCCUGGACAUUCUUUGAGCUAAGAUUCAGAGAUGUGGGCUCCUCUCCUCUCCAGGGAAAGUUGGGGGGAAGCGAACUCAAACUCUGUUGUUGGUCUACACUGCCUUUCGCCAGAGGAGCAGAAGAACAAACAGAAGCCACAUGUCCUGUGCCAAAUGCCUGGCCUGUUGACAGAUCUGCUGUCUUGGUGCCACUUCAUAGGCACAGCCCGCCUUCCUCCUUAUGUAGCCACUUCUUAAAAUGUAUGCUUAAUUUCACAAAUCCUCUUCCAGGCCUGUUCCGAGCACUUUAAAUCCAUUGAUU
rnacentral:lncRNA from 1 species